rnacentral:sRNA from 1 species
UUCCAAAGUACCAUCUCUAUUUUUUAUGUUUUAAUUUCUUUUGAAUCUUGUUGAACUCUGAUAUUGAUCUGAUUUCACUUCUAAAACUAAAGGUAUUCUAUUUUUCAAUUCGCUCACAUGUGAAAUAAUCCCAACCAUUCUACCAGUUGAUUUAAGAUUUAAUAAAGUGUCUAACGCUGUUU